CGCGGGGUGGAGCAGUCUGGUAGCUCGUUGGGCUCAUAACCCAAAGGCCGCAGGUUCAAAUCCUGCCCCCGCUACUA
rnacentral:tRNA from 1 species